rnacentral:rRNA from 1 species
CUCGUAGGUGGCCAACUAAGUCAGACGUGAAAUCCCUCGGCUUAACCGGGGAACUGCGUCUGAUACUGGAUGGCUUGAGUUUGGGAGAGGGACGCGGAAUUCCAGGUGUAGCGGUGAAAUGCGUAGAUAUCUGGAGGAACACCGGUGGCGAAGGCGGCGUCCUGGACCAACACUGACACUGAGGAGCGAAAGCCAGGGAGCAAACG